rnacentral:rRNA from 1 species
AGGAUGAACGCUGGCGGUAUGCUUAACACAUGCAAGUCGAACGAAAAAUGUAAGCUUUUUUUAAGCUUAUUUUUUAGUGGCGGACGGGUGAGUAACGCGUAAGAAUCUACCUUUAGGAGGGGGACAACAACUGGAAACGGUUGCUAAUACCCCAUAUGCUGAGGAGUGAAAUAAAUUUUGCCUAAAGAUGAGCUUGCGUCUGAUUAGUUAGUUGGUAAGGUAAUUGCUUACCAAGGCAAUGAUCAGUAGUUGGUCUGAGAGGAUGAUCAGCCACACUGGGACUGAGACACGGCCCAGACUCCUACGGGAGGCAGCAGUGAGGAAUUUUCCGCAAUGGGCGAAAGCCUGACGGAGCAAUACCGCGUGGAGGAUGAAAGCCUAUGGGUCGUAAACUCCUUUUCUCAGAGAAGAAACUAUGACGGUAUCUGAGGAAUAAGCAUCGGCUAACUCCGUGCCAGCAGCCGC